rnacentral:sRNA from 1 species
AGAACCACUGUGGCACCGCUACUGCGUGCCGCGCCCGUCGAGCAUUGCGUUGCUGCAUUGCGCCCCACCGACUCCACUAUGUUGAAGAAAUUCGACAAGAAGGAUGAGGAGUCAGGUGGAGGCUCCAACCCAUUCCAGCACCUUGAGAAGAGUGCCGUACUCCAGGAGGCCCGUGUAUUUAAUGAAACUCCCAUCAACCCUCGGAAAUGUGCUCACAUCCUCACCAAGAUUCUUUAUCUCAUAAACCAGGGGGAGCACCUGGGGACCACGGAAGCGACCGAGGCCUUCUUUGCCAUGACCAAGCUCUUUCAGUCCAAUGAUGUAAGUGCCUUGACCCAGCUUUCCUUGAGAGGUGGCAGCUGUAACAAUGUGGUGGGAGGGCCAAAGAGAGCUGGCCCCACCAGUCAGUGUGGGCUGCCUUUGUGGAGAUAGGAGGUAUCUUCUCCCAACCCUGGCCCUUGGUGAGCCCAGGCUGAUAGGGCUUUUCCCACCUAUCUCCCAGCCCACACUCCGUCGGAUGUGCUACUUGACCAUCAAGGAGAUGUCUUGCAUUGCAGAGGAUGUCAUCAUUGUCACCAGCAGCCUAACAAAAGACAUGACUGGGAAAGAAGACAACUACCGGGGCCCGGCCGUGCGAGCCCUCUGCCAGAUCACCGAUAGCACCAUGCUGCAGGCUAUUGAGCGCUACAUGAAACAAGCCAUUGUGGACAAGGUGCCCAGUGUCUCCAGCUCUGCCCUCGUGUCUUCCUUGCACCUGCUGAAGUGCAGCUUUGACGUGGUCAAGCGCUGGGUGAAUGAGGCUCAGGAGGCAGCAUCCAGUGAUAACAUCAUGGUCCAGUACCACGCACUAGGGCUCCUGUACCAUGUGCGUAAGAAUGACCGCCUAGCCGUCAAUAAGAUGAUCAGCAAGGUCACACGGCACGGCCUUAAGUCUCCCUUUGCCUACUGCAUGAUGAUCCGGGUGGCCAGCAAGCAGCUGGAAGAGGAGGAUGGCAGCCGUGACAGCCCACUGUUUGACUUCAUCGAGAGCUGCUUGCGCAACAAGCACGAGAUGGUGGUGUAUGAAGCCGCCUCGGCCAUCGUCAAUCUGCCAGGCUGCAGUGCCAAAGAGCUGGCCCCAGCUGUGUCAGUGCUCCAGCUUUUCUGCAGCUCACCCAAGGCUGCUCUCCGCUAUGCUGCUGUUCGUACCCUCAAUAAGGUUGCCAUGAAGCAUCCGUCAGCUGUGACAGCUUGUAAUCUGGAUCUGGAGAACCUGGUCACAGAUUCAAACCGCAGCAUUGCCACGCUGGCCAUCACCACCCUCCUUAAGACGGGCAGCGAGAGCAGCAUCGACCGCCUCAUGAAGCAGAUCUCCUCCUUCAUGUCAGAGAUCUCGGAUGAAUUCAAGGUGGUGGUUGUCCAGGCCAUCAGUGCCCUGUGUCAGAAAUAUCCUCGCAAACACGCCGUCCUUAUGAACUUCCUGUUCACCAUGCUGCGGGAAGAGGGUGGCUUUGAGUAUAAGCGCGCUAUCGUGGACUGCAUCAUCAGCAUCAUUGAAGAGAACUCAGAGAGCAAGGAGACAGGGCUGUCACAUCUGUGUGAGUUCAUCGAGGACUGCGAGUUCACAGUGCUGGCCACCCGUAUUCUACAUCUCCUGGGCCAGGAGGGGCCCAAGACCACCAACCCCUCGAAGUACAUCCGCUUCAUCUAUAACCGAGUGGUCUUGGAGCAUGAGGAGGUCCGGGCAGGUGCUGUGAGUGCUCUGGCCAAGUUUGGAGCCCAGAAUGAAGAGAUGUUACCCAGUAUCUUGGUGUUGCUGAAGAGGUGUGUGAUGGAUGAUGACAAUGAAGUAAGGGACCGAGCCACCUUCUACCUAAAUGUCCUGGAGCAGAAGCAGAAGGCCCUCAAUGCAGGCUAUAUCCUAAAUGGUCUGACUGUGUCCAUCCCUGGUCUGGAGAGGGCUCUGCAGCAGUACACUCUAGAACCAUCAGAAAAACCUUUUGACCUCAAGUCUGUGCCCCUGGCCACGGCGCCCAUGGCAGAGCAGAGAACAGAAAGCACCCCCAUCACAGCAGUCAAACAGCCUGAGAAAGUGGCAGCUACCAGGCAGGAGAUCUUCCAAGAGCAGUUGGCGGCAGUGCCAGAGUUCCGGGGUCUUGGGCCCCUCUUCAAGUCCUCGCCUGAGCCCGUGGCCCUCACUGAGUCAGAGACGGAGUAUGUCAUCCGCUGCACCAAACACACCUUCACCAACCACAUGGUUUUUCAGUUUGACUGCACAAACACACUUAAUGACCAGACCUUGGAGAAUGUCACAGUGCAGAUGGAGCCCACUGAGGCCUAUGAGGUGCUCUGUUACGUGCCUGCCCGGAGCCUGCCCUACAACCAGCCUGGGACCUGCUAUACACUGGUGGCACUGCCCAAAGAAGACCCCACAGCUGUGGCCUGCACAUUCAGCUGCAUGAUGAAGUUCACUGUCAAGGACUGUGAUCCCACCACUGGGGAGACCGAUGAUGAAGGCUAUGAGGAUGAGUAUGUGCUGGAAGAUCUGGAAGUUACUGUAGCUGAUCACAUUCAAAAGGUCAUGAGACUGAACUUCGAAGCAGCCUGGGAUGAGGUAGGGGAUGAAUUUGAGAAGGAGGAAACGUUCACCUUGUCUACCAUCAAGACACUUGAAGAGGCUGUGGGUAAUAUUGUGAAGUUCUUGGGAAUGCACCCUUGUGAGAGGUCAGACAAAGUGCCGGAUAACAAGAACACCCACACGUUGCUCCUGGCUGGUGUGUUCCGGGGUGGUCAUGACAUCCUGGUGCGUUCCCGGCUGCUGCUUUUGGACACAGUGACAAUGCAGGUGACAGCCAGAAGUUUGGAGGAGCUGCCAGUAGACAUCAUCUUGGCAUCUGUGGGAUAAGGGGCCAGCCUGCAUAGGACCUUAUACCCUUCCCCAACACUACCUGGAAGUUGUGCCUUCCUCAUGAAACUGGCGGAAACCCCUUCCCAAGCUUCUGUAUUGAAAAACAAUUAGGAAUCAUUGCAGAUUUUUUUUUUUUAUUCUGCCCCCACCUCCCACCCAGGACUACUUGCGGGUGACCUUUUUUUUUUUUUUUUUUAAAUAGGGGAUGAUUUUAGCUUGUCCUAAAUCUUGCUAUCCUCCCUUCCAGGAAAGGGACAUUGUAAAUGAAUAAAACAUUCUCAACUCCUCUUGAAUCUAUCCCCCAAGAAACCAUCUUAUCCCUGUAAUAAAUCAGCAUGUAUUUAUUG